AGCCCGCUCAGAAACUUAAAUGAAUUCGACGGGGGCCCGCACAAGCGGUGGAGCAUGUGGUUUAAUUCGAUGGUACGCGAGGAACCUUACCAGGGCUUGACAUACGUUGGAAGCGCAUCGAAAGGUGCGUGCCGCUUGCGGCCGGCGUACAGGUGCUGCAUGGCUGUCGUCAGCUCGUGCUGUGAAGUGUUGGGUUAAGUCCCACAACGAGCGCAACCCCUGCUGCCUGUUGCCACCACGAGAGGUGGGGACUCAGGCGGGACCGCCGGUGACAAACCGGAGGAAGGUGGGGACGACGUCAAGUCAUCAUGGCCCUUAUGUCCUGGGCUACACACGUGCUACAAUGGCCGGUACAGAGCGCAGCGAGGCCGCGAGGCGGAGCGAAUCGCUUAAAGCCGGUCCCAGUACGGAUUGGAGUCUGCAACCCGACUCCAUGAAGUUGGAAUCGCUAGUAAUCGCGCAUCAGCAUGGCGCGGUGAAUACGUUCCCGGGCCUU
rnacentral:rRNA from 1 species